rnacentral:rRNA from 1 species
AUGUCGAUUUGGAGGUUGUGCCCUUGAGGCGUGGCUUCCGGAGCUAACGCGUUAAAUCGACCGCCUGGGGAGUACGGCCGCAAGGUUAAAACUCAAAUGAAUUGACGGGGGCCCGCACAAGCGGUGGAGCAUGUGGUUUAAUUCGAUGCAACGCGAAGAACCUUACCUACUCUUGACAUCCAGAGAACUUACCAGAGAUGCAUUGGUGCCUUCGGGAACUCUGAGACAGGUGCUGCAUGGCUGUCGUCAGCUCGUGUUGUGAAAUGUUGGGUUAAGUCCCGCAACGAGCGCAACCCUUAUCCUUUGUUGCCAGCGGUUCGGCCGGGAACUCAAAGGAGACUGCCAGUGAUAAACUGGAGGAAGGUGGGGAUGACGUCAAGUCAUCAUGGCCCUUACGAGUAGGGCUACACACGUGCUACAAUGGCAUAUACAAAGAGAAGCGACCUCGCGAGAGCAAGCGGACCUCAUAAAGUAUGUCGUAGUCCGGAUUGGAGUCUGCAACUCGACUCCAUGAAGUCGGAAUCGCUAGUAAUCGUAGAUCAGAAUGCUACGGUGAAUACGUUCCCGGGCCUUGCACUCCCCGCCCGUCAAAA